UUCUGGGCGAGAGAAGGAGAAGAAAUAAGGGCAGAGGAGAAGAAAAAAAAAAAAACCCAGCGAGGUUCAAUGGAAGACGAUGAAGCUAAGCAGCGAAGAGAACUUCAAGAAGAAGAUGAUUUUAAUGAAGGAAGAGAAAACGAUUUCCCAUCUCAUCAUCCUCCACCUCCUUCCGAUGAAUUGUUCGACAUCUCGACUACUGUUGAUCCUAGCUAUGUUAUUUCACUGAUAAGGAAGCUUCUUCCAGUUGAUUUGGGAAGUGAAGGGCGACGUAACAAUCAUAAGAAUGCUAAUAAUGUAGUUCAAGGUCUUGACACUUGCAAUGGUGGUCCAGAGAGCAUGGACAUUGGAGGUUACAAUAACGAAUCCACUUCUGAGGAGAAGGUCACGGUGGGUUCAGGUCGGGAGACGGGAAUGGUGACCGGGUCAUCAGUGGAAGAAGCUUGGGAAGAUCAUGGUUGUGUUUUGUGGGAUCUUGCUGCUAGUAGAACUCAUGCUGAGCUAAUGGUACAGAACCUGAUUUUAGAAGUUCUUCAUGCAAAUCUUAUGGUUUCAGAAUCUGCCCGCAUUCGAGAAAUCUGUCUCGGGAUUAUUGGGAACCUUGCUUGCCAUGAAGGUCUGUUGCAACAUGUAGAGUCUACAGCCGGACUCGUCAAUAUACUUGUGGGGCAGUUGUUUCUUGAUGAUACCCAAUGCCUAAGUGAAGUUUGUAGGAUACUCACCACAGGUCUCUCUGGGACUGGGUGUAAUUUCUGGGCUGAGUGUUUGCAGUCUGAUGAUAUACUUCGCCGUGUUUUGUGGAUUGCGGAAAAUACCUUGAAUCCACAUCUUAUUGAGAAGAGUGUAGGGUUAUUGUUAGGUAUCAUAGAAGGUCAACCAGAGAUUGGGCAGCUAUUGACCCCUUCACUAAUGACUUUGGGUUUGACGAGUCUCUUGAUCAAUCUUCUUUCCUUUGAAAUGAGCAAGUUGACGAAAGAAAGAAUUCCAGAAAGGUACCCCAUCCUUGACAUUAUUCUCCGAGCUAUUGAAGCCCUUUCUGCUUCAGACAGCCAUUCUAAAGAGAUUUGCUCUAGCAAAGAACUAUUUCAGCUAGUCUGUGAUCUUAUGAAACUUCAGGACAAAGUUGAGGUGGCAACAUCUUGUGUUACUGCUGGAGUUUUGAUCGCAAAUAUGCUGUCGGAAACAAUCGAUUUUAUUCCAGAACUAUCGGAAGAUUUCUCUUUCUUGGAAGGUUUAUUCAGUACUUUACCAUUUGCUUCGGAUGACUUAGAAGCAAGAAGAGCAAUUUGGAAUGUUAUUGCGAGGUUACUUGCCAGAGUUAAUGAGUCUGAGAUAAACACAUUCUCUCUGAGUCAGUACAUAUUGGUUCUGUUAAGCAACUCGGAUAUCAUAGAAGAUGAUCUUCUCGAUACCCAACUAGAAGAUUCAAACGAGGAGUUCCAAAACACACUCCCUUCCCAGAUGAAGUCAAGUGCGCGAACCAUUGCCAUACAGAAUAUUGAAUCGAUAUUAAACAUUUCGAAUACUCGCAAUGAGAAUCUGCAGGAGGAAAGCAUAUCUGGGGACUGCUCUAUAAACAGAUCUGGUGUUAAAAGGCUAUUGGAAUGCUGUCACAGAUAUAUCCAUAAGCUAUUCUCUAUCUCUAGAGAGUAUAAGGAUUGAUAUAUAUAAUCUGUGAAGGUUCUUAAUUCAUGGCGAAUCUUCCCAUGGUCACUCAAGGCAUAACACAUUACACCAUCAAGCUUCAAGAUAUCGCUAACUCGGUGGACUUUUUGGUAGACAUAUACAGAUGGCUUGUUGGCGAGAUCGUAAAGAGGCUGAUAGAUAUCAAAGACGACUAGAUUGAGUCCAAUGAGGUUUCUCUUGAGAUCCUGCGACGUUGUAUUGAGUUUGCUGUUGAAGGAGACUGCAUCGUUGUUUAGCUGCUCCGAGCAUCCACCUUCGUGUGGGCCUGCCACGGUUAUGGCCGCCGGUAAACAUCCUAGCGGCGGAAGCAUAGUCACUCCGAUCCUUCUUGCUCCUAACGAGUAUAAAUUCU